rnacentral:lncRNA from 1 species
GUUUUUUCUCCUUGAAAUAAAUCCAGGAAACCAAUCCUUAUAAGAAUGAGUAUCCCAUUAAUAUUUUUAAUAUUAUUAUUGGUAGUAGUGGUGAUAGCAACUGCUAGCUUUGCAGUUCACAAAAUACUUUCAAAUAUAUUAUCUCAUUCCCUGAAAAAAAAUGGAGAGGGGAUAAAAGGAAACAUCAAAGGCAACUAUCUCAAAAAUAAAAAACCAAACCCAGUUUAACUGGAAUUGAAAAGCAAGCAUUUUCAAUUCUACCAAAAGGUCAAGAAGUGAUUUCUAUCAAAAAAGGAUAGGAUUGGGGCCAGCUGGUGGCGCAUCGGUUAAGUUUGCAUGUUCCGCUUCGGAGGCCUGGGGUUUGCUGGCUCAGCUCCCAGGUGGGGACCUACACACCGCUUGUCAGGCCAUGCUGUGGCAGCAUCCCACAUAUAGGGUGGAGGAGGCUGGGCACCUCCCAGAUGCCCAGGUUAGCUCAGGGAAACAAACAAAACUCUCCCAGUCCUCAAAACACAAACACAUCCAAAUGCCAAAGCAGGUCACACUGUCCAGUUUAUACAUAGGUAUAUGAGUGGGUGGAGAGGGAGCGUGAAGGGCGGGGGGAAGAGAGGAAAAGCAUUACCGGGCAGGUGUGCUUGUCAGCAUCAAGAGAAUUUAUUUCUCAGGUUUAUCAAGAAUGUUUUGUUUUGUUUUGUUUUGUUUGAGGAAGAUUAGCCCUGAGCUAACAUCCACCACCUAUCCUCCUCUUAUUUGCUGAGGAAUACUGGCCCUGAGCUAACAUCCAUGCCCAUCUUCCUCUUUUAUAUGUGGGACGCCUGCCACAGCAUGGCUUGCCAAGCGGCGCCAUAAGUUCGCACCCGGAAUCCAAACCCGCAAAUCCCAAGCCACUGAAGCAGAGGACAUGAACUUAAACGCUAUGCCACCUGGCCAGCCCCUCAAGAACCUUUUUUUUUUUUUGAGGAAGAUUAGCCCUGAGCUAACUACUGCCAGUCCUCCUCUUUUUGCUGAGGAAGACUGGCCCUGAGCUAACAUCCGUGCCCAUCUUCCUCUACUUUAUAUGUGGGACGCCUACCACAGCAUGGCGUGCCAAGCGGUGCCAGGUCCGCACCUGGGAUCCGAACCUGCGAACCCCAGGCUGCCGGGAAGCAGAACGUGCAAACUUAACUGCUGGCCACCACCGGCCCCUCAAGAACCUUUUUAACAAAGAAACUGGGGGUCCUACCUAUUUUUAUAACUUGACUUAUUU